UAGGGAAUCUUAGACAAUGGGGGAAACCCUGAUCUAGCCAUGCCGCGUGUGUGAUGAAGGCCUUAGGGUCGUAAAGCACUUUCGCCAGAGAUGAUAAUGACAGUAUCUGGUAAAGAAACCCCGGCUAACUCCGUGCCAGCAGCCGCGGUAAUACGGAGGGGGUUAGCGUUGUUCGGAAUUACUGGGCGUAAAGCGCACGUAGGCGGAUUAGUAAGUUAARGGUGAAAUCCCAGGGCUCAACCCUGGAACUGCCUUUAAUACUGCUAGUCUUGAGUUCGAGAGAGGUAAGUGGAAUUCCAAGUGUAGAGGUGAAAUUCGUAGAUAUUUGGAGGAACACCAGUGGCGAAGGCGGCUUACUGGCUCGAWACUGACGCUGAGGUGCGAAAGUGUGGGGAGCAAACAGGAUUAGAUACCCUGGUAGUCCACACCGUAAACGAUGAAUGCCAGACGUCAGCAAGUAUACUUGUUGGUGUCACACCUAACGGAUUAAGCAUUCCGCCUGGGGAGUACGGUCGCAAGAUUAAAACUCAAAUGAAUUGAC
rnacentral:rRNA from 1 species